UACAGAGGGGGCAAGCGUUGUUCGGAAUUACUGGGCGUAAAGGGCGCGUAGGCGGCCCGCUAAGUCGAACGUGAAAUCCCCGAGCUCAACUCGGGAACUGCGUCCGAUACUGGUGGGCUUGAAUCCGGGAGAGGGAUGCGGAAUUCCAGGUGUAGCGGUGAAAUGCGUAGAUAUCUGGAGGAACACCGGUGGCGAAGGCGGCAUCCUGGACCGGCAUUGACGCUGAGGCGCGAAAGCGUGGGGAGCGAACAGG
rnacentral:rRNA from 1 species